AAGUUCUGAAACGGCAGGCACAGAAGAGCUUGCUUCUUUGGGUGGCGAGUGGCGGACGGGUGAGUAAUGUCUGGGAAACUGCCCGAUGGAGGGGGAUAACUACUGGAAACGGUAGCUAAUACCGCAUAACGUCGCAAGACCAAAGUGGGGGACCUUCGGGCCUCACACCAUCGGAUGUGCCCAGAUGGGAUUAGCUAGUAGGUGGGGUAAUGGCUCACCUAGGCGACGAUCCCUAGCUGGUCUGAGAGGAUGACCAGCCACACUGGAACUGAGACACGGUCCAGACUCCUACGGGAGGCAGCAGUGGGGAAUAUUGCACAAUGGGCGCAAGCCUGAUGCAGCCAUGCCGCGUGUAUGAAGAAGGCCUUCGGGUUGUAAAGUACUUUCAGCGGGGAGGAAGGCGGUGAGGUUAAUAACCUCGCCGAUUGACGUUACCCGCAGAAGAAGCACCGGCUAACUCCGUGCCAGCAGCCGCGGUAAUACGGAGGGUGCAAGCGUUAAUCGGAAUUACUGGGCGUAAAGCGCACGCAGGCGGUCUGUUAAGUCAGAUGUGAAAUCCCCGGGCUUAACCUGGGAACUGCAUUUGAAACUGGCAGGCUUGAGUCUCGUAGAGGGGGGUAGAAUUCCAGGUGUAGCGGUGAAAU
rnacentral:rRNA from 1 species